CAGUAGCCGCGGUAGUACGUAGGGUGCAAGCGUUAAUCGGAAUUACUGGGCGUAAAGCGUGCGCAGGCGGUUCGCUAAGACAGAUGUGAAAUCCCCGGGCUUAACUUGGGAACUGCAUUUGUGACUGGCGGGCUAGAGUAUGGCAGAGGGGGGUAGAAUUCCACGUGUAGCAGUGAAAUGCGUAGAGAUGUGGAGGAAUACCGAUGGCGAAGGCAGCCCCCUGGGCCAAUACUGACGCUCAUGCACGAAAGCGUGGGGAGCGAACAGGAUUAGAUACCCGCGUAGUCCCUGUCUCUUAUAC
rnacentral:rRNA from 1 species